GAUCCUGGCUCAGAUUGAACGCUGGUGGCAUGCUUAACACAUGCAAGUCGAACGGUAACAGGUCUUCGGAUGCUGACGAGUGGCGGACGGGUGAGUAACGCGUAGGAAUCUGCCCAUUUGAGGGGGAUACCAGUUGGAAACGACUGUUAAUACCGCAUAAUAUCUGUGGAUUAAAGGUGGCUUAGGCUGCCGCAGAUGGAUGAGCCUGCGUUGGAUUAGCUAGUUGGUGGGGUAAGGGCCUACCAAGGCUACGAUCCAUAGCUGAUUUGAGAGGAUGAUCAGCCACAUUGGGGCUGAGACACGGCCCAAACUCCUACGGGAGGCAGCAGUGGGGAAUAUUGGACAAUGGGGGAAACCCUGAUCCAGCAAUGCCAUGUGUGUGAAGAAGGCUCUAGGGUUGUAAAGCACUUUAGUUGGGGAGGAAAGCCUAUGAGUUAAUAGCUUGUAGGAAGGACGUUACCCAAAGAAUAAGGACCGGCUAACUCCGUG
rnacentral:rRNA from 1 species